UCGGGAAUUUUGGGCAAUGGGCGAAAGCCUGACCCAGCAACGCCGCGUGAAGGAUGAAGUAUUUCGGUAUGUAAACUUCGAAAGAAUAGGAAGAAUAAAUGACGGUACUAUUUAUAGGGUCCGGCUAACUACGUGCCAGCAGCCGCGGUAAUACGUAGGGUGCGAGCGUUAAUCGGAAUUACUGGGCGUAAAGCGUGCGCAGGCGGUUAUAUAAGACAGAUGUGAAAUCCCCGGGCUCAACCUGGGACCUGCAUUUGUGACUGUAUAGCUAGAGUACGGUAGAGGGGGAUGGAAUUCCGCGUGUAGCAGUGAAAUGCGUAGAUAUGCGGAGGAACACCGAUGGCGAAGGCAAUCCCCUGGACCUGUACUGACGCUCAUGCACGAAAGCGUGGGGAGCAAACAGGAUUAGAUACCCACGUAGUCCCUGAGCGGGCUGGCAAGGCGCAU
rnacentral:rRNA from 1 species